rnacentral:lncRNA from 1 species
UUUGAGUUCAUUAGUAUCUUAAACCAUAGAUAUCUUUAAAUUUAUGAAAAGUUUACUGUGUUGAAAGUACAGCCCAUAUACUUAUGAUCUACCCAUAAAUAUCUCUAUCUCCUAUUUUACUGAUUUAUAUGCUUAAAAAUACAGGUCAUAUACUGAUGUUGUGGCUCCAAGAUCAAAACACCAUACAAAAUCCUUAUGAAAUAUUGUGGCUACUAUGCAUAAGGUAACAUCACCUUACUUGUAAAUUAUGUUAGACUUUGAAUGGAGUGUGAUCUGCCUGGUGAUCACGGAGAUGGCCUGCCUGGUGGUCAAUUAUGUGAUUAUUUUUUUAAAAUUUAAUGGAGUAGACCUGCCUGGUGGUCAAUUAUGUGAUUUUUUUUUCUAAAUUUAAUGGAGUAGACCUGCCCGGUGGUCAUUUGUUUAUGUUUGAUAACAUAAAUAUUAAACAUAGACACUGAAUGACAUUUAACGAAAAAAUAAAACUACAUCUGCAUUAAAUCAUAUGAUAUCAGCUUCAAAUACACAAGAAAUAGUAAUUAAAUUCACACUUCAAAAAAACAAAUUCAGUUUACAUUAAAUUAAUAUAAACUGAAGAGGUAAUUCAUAUAAGAUUAUAAUUUCUGUAUUUGAAAAAAAAAGAUCAUAUUUUUUAUAUGAUAUCCUAUAUUAGAUAUAAGACUUCUUAAUAACUUGAAUUGAAAAUAUUUUUAAUGAUAUAUUUAUUUUCAAAAACUUGAAAUGAGUUAAGAAAUUACUGAAUAGAUGUUUUUAAUUCCCUGUUACUAUCUAUUUAUGUAAUAACUCAACGUUAAUACAUUAUUUUCUUUGUUACUUUCGUUUUUCUUUUUCUCAAUAAAAUUUCAAUUCAGCAACUCAACGUUAAUACAUUAUAACAUCAGUUUGAUAACAUAAAUAUUUAAAAUACAAUAUCUGCAUUAAUUAUAGUAUCUCUGCAUGUAAAAUAUUGUCUCUGUUAAAAAAAUAUGUACAUUAAAUAUGAAACUUGUAAUAAUAAAAAAAAUACGAAUACAAUCCAAACUUCAAAUCUCAUAUUAAAAAUAAAUCUAUAGGUGCAUUAAAUAUCAAACUUUACAAAUAAUAUAAAAGCUGUAAUUAAUACUUUGGAAAAUAAGAUUCAUGGUCAAGAGAAAUUUGAUGUAAAUUGAAUAUGUAACUCAUAUAGGAUUGUACUUUCUAUCUAUUAAACCACAGUAAAUAGAUAUAGUACAAAUUAUUAACUUUGACUUACACCAGUAAAGUAAAUUAGUAUAAGUUAAUAUUUAGUUAAGUUCAUAGGCCUGUAACAUAAAACUGAAAUAAUUAUAGCAUAUAUACAAUAUUAUAAUUCUUAGCAAAUUAUGUACUUUAGUUAAUGAUGCUGGUUAAACAUGAUUAUAAAUGUAUAGAAAUAACAUUUAAAACUAAAUCACAUUUACCAGAUAAAACUAAAUAGUUACUACCAACACAAACUGGCAAAUUCAUACAUAAGGUCAUGCAGAUUAAACAAAAUAAUUACUACCAACACAAACUGCUAGAUUCAUACAUAAGGUCAUCUAAAUCUAUUGACUGCAAAUUAUAUGAUGCUUACUCAAGUAAGCAUCAAUAUUUGCAAUCAAACCAAAACUAACAUAACAAAAGUACUGCAACAUAGAGUUUGUAAUAGAAAUAACAGUUAAGAUGACCAUUCCUACUUAGAACCUUAGACAGAUCAGUUCAAAAAACAAAAGGAUUUGCUUCGUCAAUUCUUUUCAAUCUUCACUUUCACAGCUCUCGCCUUCUUCUUCCUAUCAUUUUCUUCAUUUGUGAAAUCAUCCAACAGCUUCCUCUUCACAGAUUCAUGGCACUUAGGUUCCUUAAUAAUCUUCGAUGAUGCAUCACUCCCAGUCUGUGUAACCUUCUUUGGGGUGAUCAUCCCAUCUUCACAAUCCUAUUUCAGUAAACAAUAAAAAAUGUUAAAGUAACUAAACACUAAUUUAAAGUACAAAUAUUAAUAUUCAUAAAUCAUACAAUACCUUCCCAAAAACUGUAGCCAUUGAAACAUCAGUGUUAUGUGAUAAGGACUCACAAUCUUCCAAGUAACCUUUGUCAAACAAAUUCUCUGCAGAUGCAGACAUCCCACAAAUAUCAGCCUUAGUUAGCAGCUUCCUCUUCACUAAUUCAUGGCAAUUAGGUUCCUUAAUAAUCUUCAAUGAUGCAGCACUCUGGGUUAAUGUUUCACCCUUUGGGGUGAUCAUCCCAUCACCAUCCUAUUUCAGUAAACAAUAAAUAAUUUUAAAGUAACUAAACACUAAUUAAAAAGUACAAAUACUGAUAUGCAUAAAUCAUGCAAUACCUUCCCGAAAGCUGACAUUGAAACCUCAGCAAGUGAAACAUUCAUGGGGGUGCUCAACCCAUCUCCAUAAUCCUAUUUAAGGAAAUGAAAUACAUUUCAAUGUCUAAACCAAUUGUAAAAAACACAACAAUUAAUAUACACAAGUAUACAAUACCUUCCCAAGCUCUUCAGCAGCUGAUAUAUCUGUAAUUUGGGAAAUCUUUGAUAAAACAUGCGACUCUGCAAGUGAAACAGUCAUGGGGGUGCUUUUCCCAUCUCCAUAAUCCUAUUUAAGUAAAUGAAAUUAGGUUUCAGUGACUAAACCAAUUGUAAGAAACACAACAAUUUAAAUACACAAGUACACAAUACCUUUCCAAGGUCUCCAGCCAUUGUUAUAUCUGAAAUUUGAGAUAAAGACUCACACUGCUCUAAAUAACCUUUGUCAGACAAAUCCUCCAGGGUCGCAGAAAGCCCACAAACAUCGUUCUCUUUCCAGAAAUGAUUAAUGACCAGUUGGUCAGUGCAAACUUUAGUAACUGUGUAUGGCUUAUCCUCCACAAAAGAUGCUUCUGAUCUCAUCUGUAUCUUAAACAUAACAACUCGUUCAUUCAAAGCUACAUCAAUCUCCUUUGGAACAAUCUUGGCAUCAGCUGCCUCUUUGUCAUUCAUUGAUAUUUGCACAGCUUUUUUCCCAACCAAGGCCACAGCCUCCUUAUCCCACACCAAUAAAGAAGCAUUAUUGGUACAAUCAACCACAUUCAAAAUCAGUUGAUACCUAUAAUAGAUAUAAAUCACAUAUGAAAAAUUUAAUAAACUUGUACAAUACAUCCUAUUAAAUCAUAUUGAAUAAAUUAAAUACUAAUGGCAUUUAAUAUACUUAACCUCUUAUUAACUACUCCAUCAUAUUUGUCACAGUUACCACAAUAAAAUCUUCCAGUUUUCUUUUCCACUUUUCUUGUGCAUUUUCUGCAAGCGUUAUAACACCAUUGUGCAUAACAGUCAACAUUGUCUAUUUUGGCACAGAUCCAAUGCUCCCCAUCCUGCCAAAAAUCAUAACAAAGAAACUGUUCUUUUGUUAAAACACAUAAUCUUUCCUAAAUUUACUCUUCUUAGCUAUUAAAUGCAUUACCUCAACUGUGAAAAUAUCAUCGAGCGUUUUAACAACUAUGUUUCCAUUGAAGAAAUCAUCAGUUUGAACAACACUUUUUUCAAAUGAUAAUUCAAGCCUGGCUGAAAAUGACUGAUUCCCAAUGAUCCUACACAUAAACAACACAUUACUAAAGAAAAACAACAAUUAUAAAAUGCAUAUCAACACUACACAAUCAUGAAACACUUACUGCUUCCUAAAAUCUUCUAUUUCGGGAAUAUCAGAAUUUAGAAAAAUCUGAGAAGCAUUGUAAGAUGUGCAUGCUCGCAUCUCACCUACAUACAAUCAAAGUUAGCUAUUAAUAUUAUCCACAACAUACAACCUGAAAAAAUCAAACAAAAUUCAUACCACGAUAAAAGUUAGGGCGACAAAGCUGAAUAAUAAUAAUCUGAACCCUUGUGUCUGCAGCAUCAGCUUGAUUGAGGAACAUAUCAACAUAGUCCUCCCAUAGAGUGCAGUAGAUUUGAUUGUGGCUGUUAAAUAAAAUCAUAUUAUAAUAACAAAAAACCUACAUAAUGAUUAUACUGUGAAAACUUAAAUAAAGAUUAACAUAUACUUUUGAUCCUCCAACUUUAAUUCAACCAUUUUUGACUCGGAGUCAUUCUUCACAAACCCUUUCCCUGCUAUCACUCCAAUAACAUCUACAAAAUAAUCCAAGGUUACCAAACUGCACAUUGUAGUACCAAUAAACCCACAAAUACCAAAAAAUAAAACACAUACCAAACAUUCCUACUGAAUCAGUAGUCUGAAUUGAAGAAAUAUCCUCAAAUGAUUUGAAUGAGAACUUAUAGUUUGGAAAACACUUUGGAAAUACUUCCGAAAUCAUGGUUUUUGGCGUGAGUUCAAGACGAUGCACAUGAUCUGUCACCUUCCACUUCGUACCAUUUCUCUUGACCAUGAAAUUCAUUAUUUGAUAAACCAAACCUUCUUUAAGUUUGUUUCCAAACAUUUUGGUUAGUUUGUUUGGCACACUCAAUUGUAUCCGUGUUCCCUACAAAUAUAUUAACAUGUGAAUUGUUAUGCAACAGGAAUGCACUGAUUUGCACUGAUUCAGGUAAAGGACAACACUGUACUGCAUAUUUUAUUGGUAAGCAGGGAAGUAUUUUCAUAGACAUACGAAAAAAGUUUUUUUUUUUAAAUGAAGGGAAGUAUUUGCAGGGAAGUAUUGGUAAGCAUAUUAGUAUUUAUUGGUAAGCAGGUGGGUAUUUGCAUAAAAAUGAACAGGCAUAUAUCUUACAUAAUUUUUUUUAAUAUAAUACUAUUUUGUAAUAAAUUAACAAAAUUACACACACACUACAAAAACAUGUUCAUCAUGCACAACACAUUCAAAUAUAACAGUUUGGACAAUAUUUUUAUAAAUGAACAUGCAUAUAUCUUUCAUAGUUUUUUUAAUAUAAUACUAUUUUGUAAUAAAUUAUCUGAUACCAAAUACAAUUACACACACACACUACAAAAACCUGUUCAUCAUGCACAACACACUCAAAUAUAACAGUUUGAACAAUAUUUUUAUAAAUGAACAUGCAUAUAUCUUUCAUAGUUUUUUUAAUAUAAUACUUUAUUUUGGUAAUUAAAUUAUUCUUGUAUACCCAAAUACAUCAAUAUUGGUGUACAGGGGAGCCAUCUUCAACUUUUUUCUAAAAUCAUUUAAAAAAAGUUAACAAAUAUUAGAUCCUUUUUGGUUCCUUAAAAAUGUGAUACGAAAAAUUAUAUCUUAGCAUAUAAACAUUCUAACAUGGAAAAAAUGAUUACAUAUCACUUUAUGAAAAUUCUUUCUGCAAUAACGCAAAGUACUUAUUUUGUACAAAUGAUCAUGUAUUCAACUUUGUCAUUGCAGAAUAGCUUAGCCAUUUCCAAACAAACAUCUUUUUGAAAAAGCAAACAAAAAGUUUUCAAGUAGACAAAGAAAAAGAAAUUUUUGAAAAGUAGUAAAGAUAGUAAAAUGAGCAUACAGAAUAUUCAUUAUAGAAAUCAAACAAAAGUUUUCAAAUAGACAACAAAAGAAUUUUUCGAAAUGCAGUGAAGUUUGAAAAUCAGCAUAAAGAAUAUUCAUCAUUCUCACUGCCACUUAUCAGUGGAAUAGCUCUUUCCAUGGAAAGGCUCUCUGCAGCAAUAUUAGAAGAAAUAGAUUAAAAAUAGAAAACAAAUAGAAAUUUUUGAAGAUUUUUGAAGAAGACAAGAGAAUCUUUAAAGUACGAAAUCAGAUAAAUCAUCUCAUUGCCACUUAUAAGUGGAAUAACUCUUUCCAUGGAAAGGCUCUCUGCAGCAAUUAGAGAAAUGAUUCAAAAGGAAACAUAUAGAAAUUUUCGAAGAAGACAAAAGAAUAUUGCAAGUGCGAAAUCAGAUAAUUUUUUUGGAAAAAAGAAGGAUGAGAAAUAUUACAAAUGUUAAAUCCCAGAAGUCAAGUGUGAAGAAUUAGAAGAUAAUGAAGUGGUAUUUAUAGAAUUUCGAAAACAAGUUUGGCUGAAAAGAAAAUUUUGGGCUCCAAAUUUCAAAUUCAAAAUCGUGCUGUAUAGUUGGAGCCAAAAUAGCAGACCCUCUCUUAAUCCAGUGCACGAUAAUCAAGCAAAUCAUUGGGCUGAUUGCGGGAAAUGGCUGCUGAAAUUUGGGCUCCAAAUUUCAAAUUCAAAAUCGUGCUGAUGUUGGAGCCAAAAUGCAGACCCUCUCUUAAUCCAGUGCACGAUAAUCAAGCAAAAUCCAUUGGGCUAAAGGCUGGGCUGAUUGGCGGGAAAUGGCUGCUGCAGAAAACUCUGCUUUUAUAUUAGUAUAGAUAU